rnacentral:rRNA from 1 species
GGCUAAGGUCCCUAAAUCCAUGCUAAGUGGUCGAGGAUGUAGGGCAACUCAGACAACCAGGAGGUUGGCUUAGAAGCAGCCAUCCUUUAAAGAAAGCGUAAUAGCUCACUGGUCGAGUUGCCCUGCGCCGUAAAUAUAACGGGGCUAAGCAUGGUACCGAAGCCGCGGACUCAGAAAUGAGUGGUAGGGGAGCGUUCUCGAUGCAGCGAAGCAGGCGCGCGAGCAACUGUGGAGCGUCGAGAAGUGAGAAUGCUGGCGUGAGUAGCGAUAAAGCGGGUGAAAAACCCGCUCGCCGUAAGCCCAAGGUUUCCUGUCCAAGGAUCAUCCGGGCAGGGUAAGUCGGUGCCUAAGGUGUAGCCGAAAGGCGAAGCUGAUGGGAAUCAGGUUAAUAUUCCUGAACCAUGAACGAGGAGCAGAGCAGGG